CCGGCCGUAGCUCAAUCGGCAGAGCAGGGUCCUUAAACUUCCCUGGUUCCUGGUUCGAAUCCGGGCGGCCGGA